UACAGAGGGUGCAAGCGUUGUUCGGAAUUAUUGGGCGUAAAGCGCGUGUAGGCGGCCAUCUAAGUCUGGUGUGAAAUCCCUCGGCUCAACUGAGGAAGUGCAUUGGAUACUGCAUGGCUAGAGGAUGAGAGAGGAGAGUGGAAUUCCCGGUGUAGGGGUGAAAUCCGUAGAUAUCGGGAGGAACACCAGAGGCGAAGGCGGCUCUCUGGCUCAUUUCUGACGCUGAGACGCGAAAGCGUGGGGAGCAAACAGG
rnacentral:rRNA from 1 species